GUGCUGCUUCGGCAGCGCGUAUACUAACAUUGGAAUGCUACAGAGAAGAUUAGCAUGGCCCCGUGUGCAAGGAUGACACACAAAUUUGUGAAGUGUCCCAUUAAAAA